GCUUCACCUGUAUUUUUACACAGCGACUGAAAAACCUGUUGGUGACUGAGACUAGCAUGUACUAAAAAAGGUUUGUGCCGACGGGUUCCUAACAACAUUAUGAGAGAGUCGCAUCCAGCAUUCAUUCUAUUGUUUAUUUGGAUUUUUUUAGGCUGCAGAUUUUAACCUGUUUUGGGUGAUGACGCUCAGGAACAGGAGACACGCUGCAGGCCGGAGUCAGUGGAUUGGAGCAGCUGUUUAGUUUUUGCCAUAGUCUCUAGCAGGUGAACAUCCCUCCCCACCAUCCCCUGCUGGCCCCCCUUCCCUACAACCAGAGAACCCGACGGGAGGUGGGGUGGAGGGGGUCGGCUGUGGUACACUCACCGCAGGCGAACACGCAGGCAUCGCGGAUGCCUUUGUGCUUGUGGCCGGACGCGUCUUUCUGCAGCUUUCGCAGGAUUUCCUCCAUGCUGGCUCCCGGGGAAUGGACGGGCGCUAAGGAGUCAGUGCCUGGCUGGGUGGCUGCGUUUGUGUACGUGCGCGUUUUGUCUGUGGUAUUUUUAAGGGUGCCGUGGCAGUGACAGCAUCCCUGGACCCCCCCAACGAAGACGAUGAUUCAUCCCAGCCACACCACAGGCCGGCGAUCAACCCCGAGAGAGCUGGAAGGAGGAAGCGUCUCUUUCCCUGGGAAUAAACCCGCGGCUACGGCCUCCAGACACAGCAGCGAGGAUCACCUGACACAAUAAUAAUCCGAGCAGCGACCAUCACACACUGUCAUCCGUGCAGUGGUGGGGGAAUUAAACGAAUAAACGCCCCUUCUCUCGUCUACGUCGCUCGUUUAAUUCCUGGUUUUCAAAAAUCCGUUCCAGCUGCUCCUUGUGUUCUUCCCUCAAACCAGAUCCGGUUCCUUCCGUCCCUCGCACCAGGCUUCCUGUGCACCUCCAGGAAUACGCCUCAGCGCUGUGGCUGCAGCGGCGACGACAGCGACCUCCGUCUAAAAGGCGGAUUCCUCUCCAACCUGGCAACACAGUAUUUACACGGUCGUUCCUUGUGGGGACGCGUGAAACUGUGGCCCGGGUUCCUGGAGUCACUGGAUCCGGACUCUCUGCCGCUGCCGGGCGACAGGUGGAUGAGGCUCCGCCUUCAGUAAACACCCUUCAGACACCAAGCGAUGGAUUUAAAUAGAAACGUUUUUGACAAAAUAAUAUUCAAUAUUUGGUUAAUUCCUUUGUAUUUUCUGAAAAACCUGAAAAAAAAAAAAAGAUUUGGGCCAUUAUUGUAACAGGGUGUCGAUAUAUAUAAAAUGAAUAAAUGUACUGGAUACAUUUAA